ensembl:snoRNA
GCAGACUCAACUCUGUUUAAGUCUGACAAAUCCAGCCUUAGACUUUUUAUGUCUGCGACAGUAACGUUAUAAGAAGAACGUUAUAACCUGCCUUGCCAUUCACUUGGGAGGUGACCGUGUCUUCUCAGACAAACUU